ensembl:lncRNA
AAACUAAAGCCGAACCGCAAGUUUGUGUUUAGUGUGGUCCUGCUACAGAUACUAUUAUUGUCUUAACAAUUCUGUCAUAAAGCACCACAUUCAGACAGAACUGCCGUUCUGCCGUCACAGAUGAAUUUUUACAGGCGUGUUGUCAGAUGAUCCAGACGGACAUGUGAGGUCUCAUUCUGACAUUAAAACAGAGGUGAGAUUGUCACAUCAAAACCCUUCAGCAUGUUCUCAAGAACACAACAUCAGUGAGACACCAGCAGCUGAAGAUCUGAUCAUCAUCAUCAUCAUCAUCAUCAUCUCAGACUCCAUCACUCAGACUACAGUCUCUUCAGCUCCGGGACUCUUCUUCAGACUCAUCUGAUCACAAACUAACAGAGUAAUGAACCGUUUCUUUCUCAGAUCUGUGUCUCAGUACUGCACUGCUGCUGCACUUCACUGACAACAUU